UCCAGUGGAAAAAAAAAAACUAGAAAUUUUGUGAAAAGAAUAAUAAUCAGAUUAAACGAUGUACUUGAAAAAAUUAAAUAUGAAGAAAUUGAUGAUACAGACGAACUUAGAAUAUGUUUGCGACAAGAAGCUGCAAGAUGGGCAUGUUUUUUCGGUGAAAUCAAUUGUAUAAAAGAAGCCAAUAAUAAAUUAAAACAACAUCUCCAAGAUCCUAUAAAACACAGACUUUUGUCAUGGUGGACGGAAUGGACAUAUUGUAGAGGUUUGAUGAUAACUACGACGAAUGAAACCACUUUUAGAUCAGUGUAUAUCAUAGGAUUGAUGAAAAAUGACUUGAAAUUUUCAGAAUACUUGGCUUGCAUUAAAGAUACUGAUUUCAUCAAAAUCUAUUUAAGUUGUAAACAACACAAUAAUACAAAACAGGAAGAUCAAUUUUACGUUAACAGUUUCUUACAUUUUAUUACAAAGCAUGCGAAGAAUCCAAUUAUACUAACAUAUAUAUUAGAUCAUUUUAACGAAAUAAAACCAAAAAAUGUUAAUAUAAUUGCAGCAUUAAUUAU